rnacentral:lncRNA from 1 species
GCGCUCUGGACUCCUCGCUUUUACUACAUUAUCGUACUUCAAGUGACCAGAUCCAGGUACAUGUUCAGAAACUACGCCAGCGACCCUUUUAGCAUGAUGAUACGAUUCACUUCAACCUGUACCCCCGGACUGUACAUCUGGGGGAGCCCCGCUCUCAGGGAGGCUGUGCUGAAGACAGUGUGGGGCAGAGUCUGUCCCCCACUGAGAAACAAGAGGAUCUCCUCAAGCUCUUAAAGGGAACAGCAACAGCAACAGCAACAGCAACAGUACAGAAGAGCUUCUGAAUGUAGUGCACUAGAAGUCAGGAGAUCAGAACUUAGCACAUUCGGAGUGGACAGACCACACCUGGUCAUUUUCGCCAACAGGAAGAACUGUUUUUUCUUCCCUCUACCAGGCGUAAAUAUGAGAAUUAAGUAGUUAAAAUAUUAUAAUAUUGAAGGAGGUGAUUGUUCAUAUUGAAGCACUUCUUUG